GCGGGCUGCCACAGUCAGCGCUGGGGCUGGCCUGGGCUUGCAGACCUGAGCCCCGCGAACAGCCCCAGCGGCGGUGGCGCAGGCGAGCCGAAGAAAGGGGACCUUUAUGCCUUUUGGGGGGAAGCACACAUUCUGCGAGGCCAUGGAAACAAAGAGAGGAACUGUUUCUAGCCCUAGUCCCAACAUCUCAAACCAACAGCAAACAGCCCCCUUCUUGAUGCUGUGACUCAGAAGCUGCUCAGGCCAAUCUGCUCAGAUCGCUCAUUGACCAGAACUCGGGGAAACUGAGCUGCAGAGGUUGUCUCCAGAGAGUGUGAUCUUGAGUCCGGGGUGGCUGAUUAAGGAAACGUCCCUGCUCCUUCCAUUCUCCUGGAGUCCAUCCUUGCAUGUGUUGAAGAGGGAACCUUCUCCCCACCUCAUCAAAGAUCACCUAUGAGCCCACAGGCGUGUAAUAAAGAAAUCAAGCCACAUA